AGAGUUUGAUCCUGGCUCAGGAUAAACGCUGGCGGCGCACAUAAGACAUGCAAGUCGAACGGACUUAACCAUUAGUUUACUAUUGGAGCGGUUAGUGGCGGACUGGUGAGUAACACGUAAGCAACCUGCCUAUCAGAGGGGAACAACAGUUAGAAAUGACUGCUAAUACCGCAUAUGCCUAAGUACCACAUGGUGCAAUAGGGAAAGGAGCAAUCCGCUGAUAGAUGGGCUUGCGUCUGAUUAGAUAGUUGGUGGGGUAAAGGCCUACCAAGUCGACGAUCAGUAGCCGGACUGAGAGGUUGAACGGCCACAUUGGGACUGAGAUACGGCCCAGACUCCUACGGGAGGCAGCAGUCGGGAAUAUUGCGCAAUGGAGGAAACUCUGACGCAGUGACGCCGCGUGCAGGAAGAAGGUUUUCGGAUUGUAAACUGCUUUAGACAGGGAAGAAACAAGACAGUACCUGUAGAAUAAGCUCCGGCUAACUACGUGCCAGCAGCCGCGGUAAUACGUAGGGAGCGAGCGUUAUCCGGAUUUAUUGGGUGUAAAGGGUGCGUAGACGGAGAUACAAGUUGGUUGUGAAAUCCCUCGGCUCAACUGAGGAACUGCAACCAAAACUAUAUCCCUUGAGUGUCGGAGGGGAAAGUGGAAUUCCUAGUGUAGCGGUGAAAUGCGUAGAUAUUAGGAGGAACACCGGUGGCGAAGGCGACUUUCUGGACGAUAACUGACGUUGAGGCACGAAAGUGUGGGGAGCAAACAGGAUUAGAUACCCUGGUAGUCCACACUGUAAACGAUGGAAACUAGGUGUAGGGUGUAUUAAGCACUCUGUGCCGCCGCAAACGCAUUAAGUAUCCCACCUGGGGAGUACGACCGCAAGGUUGAAACUCAAAGGAAUUGACGGGGGCCCGCACAAGCAGUGGAGUAUGUGGUUUAAUUCGAAGCAACGCGAAGAACCUUACCAGGGCUUGACAUAUACAGGAAUAACUUAGAGAUAGGUUAGCUCUUCGGAGCCUGUAUACAGGUGGUGCAUGGUUGUCGUCAGCUCGUGUCGUGAGAUGUUGGGUUAAGUCCCGCAACGAGCGCAACCCCUAUCGUUAGUUGCUAGCAGGUAAUGCUGAGAACUCUAGCGAGACUGCCGGUGAUAAAUCGGAGGAAGGUGGGGAUGACGUCAAAUCAUCAUGCCCCUUAUGACCUGGGCUACACACGUACUACAAUGGCGCUAAAACAGAGGGCAGCGACGCCGCGAGGCGAAGCGAAUCCCGAAAAAGCGUCUCAGUUCGGAUUGCAGGCUGCAACCCGCCUGCAUGAAGUCGGAAUUGCUAGUAAUCGCGAAUCAGCAUGUCGCGGUGAAUACGUUCCCGGGCCUUGUACUCACCGCCCGUCA
rnacentral:rRNA from 1 species